ACUCAAAUGAAUAGACGGGGGCCCGCACAAGCAGAGGAGCAUGUGGCUUAAUUCGAUGCAACGCGAAGAACCUUACCCGGGUUUGACAUGCAGCUGCACGGCCUGCGAAAGCAGGCCUCCUUCGAGGGUGCUGCACAGGUGCUGCAUGGCUGUCGUCAGUUCGUGCCGUGAGGUGUUUGGUUAAGUCCAGCAACGAACGCAACCCCUGUGUCCAGUUGCCAGCGCGUAACGGCGGGAACUCUGGACAGACUGCCCGUUCACACGGGAGGAAGGUGGGGACGACGUCAAGUCAGUAUGGCCCUUACAUCCGGGGCUGCACACGUGCUACAAUGGCCGGCACAAAGGGAAGCGAGGCCGCGAGGCGGAGCCAACCCCCAAAACCGGCCCCAGUUCAGAUCGGGGUCUGCAACCCGACCCCGUGAAGUCGGAUUUGCUAGUAACGGCGCAUCAGCUACGGCGCCGUGAAUACGUUCCCGGGCCUUGUACACACCGCCCGU
rnacentral:rRNA from 1 species